ACCCCUAUCCCACAUCUUCUUCUCCUCCACGGGCCACUACAGCCCACAUCCCGGACACAACUGGCGAUCCACCCCACCCACCCCGAGCCAGACAUCGCGCCCACCUACCACCUUCCUCCGCCGGCCGGAACCACCCCGCCGCCGUCACCCCACCUACCACCUUCCUCCGCGGGCCGGAACCACCCCACAACCGUCACCCCCGGGCCCCGGUGCCGUCAACCCCAGGGCCUCGCCGCCGUCACCCCCCAUGGCCGGCCAACAACUCCAGGCCGCGCCCCUGGCCAGCCACCUACCUCCGAAGACAAAGCAACUCCGGCCACGUCCUCGCGAGGCAACCACCGAAUCUGGCCGGAUCUGGUUCCACUUCUGCUCGUCUCCCCUAGCCCACCACCUACACCGCCAGAUCCGCAGCUGCCCGCCGGCCAUGGACUCCGGCCCACACCCUGACCUGCGCGCCUCCGCCUAGGUGACACAUCCGGCCCUGGCACGCCACGCAAUCAACAUAUCUGAGCGCCGCCUUUCCCCACCUUCCUCUCCACGCCUGGCCUCCACAACCCCACCGUCGUCUGGAUCGCCAUGGUCGUCGUCAUCCUUCUUUGACAUCCAGCCGGCCAUCCUUCUUCAACAUCCAGCCGGUCGUCAUCCUUCGUCGUCCAUCGUGAGCGCAUCCCCCGCCUCCUCUUCCUCGCGGCGUCAGCAAGAUCCGCAUAGCAGGGGAGGGGGGACACGACGACCAUGGCACGGGGCGCUGGCCCGGGCAGUGCCCUCCUUCGAUGCUGCCUCGGUCCUCCUCCACUUAGACUCGUGCGUGCGUAGUCCCCACCACUACAUCCUCUCCUCCACCUUCACUCCUACUCCGCCGUGAAACACCAUCGAAAGGGGUCGCGAGGAGGUCUGUCGGUCCGUCGGUUGCAGUUCCCUUUGACGACGAGGAGGAUCACCUCUCGCUACAGUGCAGCUCGGUUGGCUCUUCGUUGCAGUUUGAUCGAGCCCACAUCUCUUCGGUGUGCUCAUCGGAGGCUCUUGCUGGCGAGAGCUCGGUUGGGUCGUCGCUGCAGUAGGAAAGCGCCUGAGAGGACUAUGGCCAUCUAGUUCGAUUCCGGCCGUCCGACGCCGCAGUACAGAUGUGUGCGGCAUGCAUUUUACUUGGUGUGCGCGGGAGGUUCUCACAACUAGCUCGUGCAGCCCGCCGUUGCCCUUGUGCUGGUUGACCGUUGCAGUGAACAAAAAAAGGGCACUUAGUUUUGCUGUGAAGUUUUGAUGCAGCUCAUUUUUGUUUUGCCUUUUGAAAAAACAAUGGUUAUGCAGUGCGCAGUGCAGUACUAGUUUUGAUCCAGCUCAUUUUUGUUUUUUCCUUUUGAAAAAAAUGGUUAUGGAGUGCGCAGUGCAGUACUGUUAGAAAUCUCGACGAUUGGCUUUGUAAAAAAAGAUGGAGCAGUCGACUUGGUUGUGGGGAAUAAAAAGAAUGAGAGAUAAAAAUUUAUACAAAAUUUUCAAAAAAAUUGUUGUUCACUACGGUUGACCUAACGGAUUUGUUACGUGUAUGUAUGAAGUGCAGUCAAUGGUUUCAGUACCUGUAUGUAUGAAGUGCACUCAGUUUGUGUAAAAAGAAUAUGUAUGAAGUGCACUCUGUUUGUUUAAAAAGAAUAUGUUUCAUUA